rnacentral:lncRNA from 1 species
UAGAUGUAUGGCCGACACUUGUCCGGGGCUUUGUCCAAUUAUGCUCCAAUUUAGUCCAAUUUCUUACGAAAAUAUAAUAUCCUCCAAAAUACAAUGCAUAUGCGAAAACGUCCCAAUUAUCAGGUAUGAUCAAUAGUUUUGAUAUCAUUUAUAUGCUGAUAUUGAAGAUAAACACUGACCUGUUGCCGCGCCGGCAAGCUCCGCCAUGAACAGCCGCCGCCGCCGCACGCGGGCAAACAAACUUUACUGCAGAGGCUUGAGCUCCGCCACAUGUAGGGGCCAAGCUCGGUUGCCCGAGUUCGAGCUCCAUUUCGAAAGGCCAGUGAGCUACGCCACACAUGAGCGGGCGAGCUCUGCCACCCAAGAAUCACCUAGCAGGCGAG